AGUCGGCCCUGCCUCUGCUUCCUGGUGUCACAAAGUCGAGUUGGCUUAGUGGUUCUGUAACUUGCAAAGCUUCUGUAGCUUUCCAAUACCAGAAACUUUUUUAAAUUGGGGAAUGGGAUUAAAUCAACGCGGAGAUGUAAUUCUACAGAUAAACCUCAUCUAACAACCUAAAUGAUUUCUGGAAUUGGUAUUGAUUGAUAUCAAAACAGCUUCUGAGGUUGCCUGCGGCAAACUGUGGGCUGGCGACUGCGGCUCGGUAAAUUGCGGGACAGUCACUUCAGUGGCUGCCAUAAGACUGUUUACUCAGCUCGGCCAUCGCUCCACAACAGCGUUUUCCUUUUAAUUCUGGCUUUUGAUUCAUGGAGGUCCAUCACACCCAGGGGGCGACAACCACCACGACCUGAUGUUUGCCGAAGACCACCUGAUGUCUCAUCUGAGGCCGAAGGUAGCAACACGAUGACAGCAACUGUUGCGUGUAACAGUAUUGUGUUCAGCAUCGCCCAUUGUAACAACUCGCUGCUAAGAACCCUGGGUGCGAUGCAUCAGCUACCGCAGCAUCUGCAGCACGGCAAGUGUGCUGACAUUCUACUCUGUCAUUGUCAGCCUCGCCCGUGGCCACAGCAAGGAAAGGCGUGCAGUCCUGUGGUCCGUCCACCAGUGAUGUUCGUGCGAUGCCGUGGUGUGCUUCUAACUCCUGCUGUGUCAUCAGGCUUCUGAAGAAUAAAUCCGCUUAACAUGAUCUGACAGAGCAAAAACGGUCAAAGCCGUUAGGAGUAGAUCACGGAUGUCAACUUUUAAUUUCCAGAGGAUGAGUACAGCCUGGACAUAAAUCUGUCAGCAGAGACCUCUACUUUAUGGCCAUAUCGACGGUUUGCAGAAUGAUGUGGACUGGGAGUAAUUUAUAAGCAUGUUUGUGCCAUCUAGUCUUGCCAAACAACAAUCAAACAGCACGUGACAAGUUUACGAGACGGCGUCUGACGUUUCCUUGUUGACGCCGAUGUACAUUAUUUGCACUCACGUGCGGAGUAAACAUUCAAAGUCUGCUCCAGUCACUCAUGCCUUGUGAAGUGAACAGGAAGCUCUGCGUGAAGCUCUGUGAACUGAACCACACUUACAUGUCCUUCCAGUCCAUCCUCCUGUCAGGUGGUCGACACAAGCAGGACGGCUUGUAGGUAAGAAAGGGUGACACGUGUCUUCUUCCCGCCAUUUUUGCUUCCUUACAGUAAACAUUUAUAUAUAUAUUAUUUUUUUUACAUUGUCAUACAUCCUUGUUUCAAGUUUGUUUUCAAUAUUAUUAAAA